rnacentral:rRNA from 1 species
UAUGGACAUACCACCCUGAACAUGCCAGGUUGGAAGCUAAGCAGGGUCAGACCUGGUUAGUACUUGGAUGAGAGGCUUCUUAGAGACUGAAAAUACUUCAUAU